CUAAAUACGACCACGAGACCGAUAGCGAACAAGUACCGUGAGGGAAAGUUGAAAAGCACUUUGAAGAGAGAGUUCAAGAGUACGUGAAACCGUUCAGGGGUAAACCUGAGAAACCCGAAAGGUCGAAAGGGGAAAUUCAUUCGCGUUUCGGCGCUCGAAGCGAGACGGUCGAGCGACGGACGGCGUACGCGUCGUCCGCGCCUUUCGUUUCGCGCGUCGGCGUCGAACGCGUGCACUUUUCCCCUAGUAGGACGUCGCGAUCCGUUGGGUGUCGGUUUAAGGCUCGCGCGGUGGAGCCCGAGCGUACGUUUUCGACGUUCGCGCUCGGACCCGUCGUGUCCCGACCGACUCGCUCGACGGUAUACGGAUGGCGCGGGGCCGCUAUUUCAUACAGUUAGCGUUCGGCCCGCGGCAAGCGCGUUCGGUACACACACACACGAAGACGGCGGCGAUCGGACCCGGUGCCGAUCCCGUCCCCGAACGACUGUUGGCCGCGGUGGGGCGAUGAGAGGGGGGGUGUUCUCUUUCUCUCUCUCGCUUCCUCGAACAGACCUCGAUUUUCGAAACGCCGAUCUGCGACGCUAUAGCUUUGGGUACUUUCAGGACCCGUCUUGAAACACGGACCAAGGAGUCUAGCAUGUGCGCGAGUCAUUGGGACAU
rnacentral:rRNA from 1 species